ensembl:lncRNA
UACACUCUAACCACUAGGCUACCUGCCGCCCCUACACUCUAACCACUAGGGUACCUGCCGCCCCUACACUCUAACCACUAGGGUACCUGCCGCCCCUACACUCUAACCACUAGGGUACCUGCCGCCCCUACACUCUAACCACUAGGGUACCUGCCGCCCCUACACUCUAACCACUAGACUACCUGCCGCCCCUACACUCUAACCACUAGGCUACCUGCCGUCCCUACACUCUAACCACUAGGGUACCUGCCGCCCCUACACUCUAACCACUAGGGUACCUGCCGUCCCUACACUCUAACCACUAGGGUACCUGCCGCCCCUACACUCUAACCACUAGGGUACCUGCCGCCCCUACACUCUAACCACUAGGGUACCUGCCGCCCCUACACUCUAACCACUAGGGUACCUGCCCCCCUACACUCUAACCACUAGGGUACCUGCCGCCCCUACACUCUAACCACUAGGGUACCUGCCGCCCCUACACUCUAACCACUAGGGUACCUGCCGCCCCUACACUCUAACCACUAGACUACCUGCCGCCCCUACACUCUAACCACUAAGGGUACCUGCCGCCCCUACACUCUAACCACUAGGGUACCUGCCGCCCCUACACUUUAACCACUAGGGUACCUGCCGCCCCUACAUACAUUUCACCCUUACUUAAC